GACGAACCGAGCGAACGUUGUUCGGAAUCACUGGGCUUAAAGGGCGCGUAGGCGGCCGACCAAGUCCGGGGUGAAAGCCCCCAGCUCAACUGGGGAAGUGCCUCGGAUACUGGCCGGCUUGAGGGAGGUAGGGGCGGAUGGAACUUCCGGUGGAGCGGUGAAAUGCGUUGAUAUCGGAAGGAACGCCGGUGGCGAAAGCGAUCCGCUGGCCCUCUACUGAGCUGAGGCGCGAAAGCCAGGGGAGCAAACGGGG
rnacentral:rRNA from 1 species